rnacentral:tRNA from 1 species
AGUUUAUAAAAAAAAAUAAAUUGCUAAUUUAUUUAUAUUCAUUAACUGAAUUAAACUUGU